rnacentral:rRNA from 1 species
GCGUGAGUGAAGAAGGCCCUAGGGUUGUAAAACUCUUUCAGCGGGGAAGAUGAUGACGGUACCCGCAGAAGAAGCCCCGGCUAACUCCGUGCCAGCAGCCGCGGUAAGACGGAGGGGGCUAGCGUUGUUCGGAAUUACUGGGCGUAAAGAGCACGUAGGCGGCUUGCCAAGUCAGGCGUGAAAGCCCCGGGCUUAACCUGGGAACUGCGCUUGAUACUGGCAGGCUCGAGUCCGGGAGAGGGUAGUGGAAUUCCCAGUGUAGAGGUGAAAUUCGU